UUGAGACAGUUUCAAAUUAAAGAAAAUAAUGCCUUCGAAGAUUGGAAUUGCCAAAA
rnacentral:sRNA from 1 species